CAUACGAGCGUGAAUGUUAGAUCCCAAGACUUAAUUCCUUACCACAACGACAUUGGAGGGGCAUACUUCCCUUUCAACUCAAAACUAACAUAUCAUAUGUUUAAUAAACAGGGAAUUCGUGAGUGUAGGAUGAUCUCUUAGUUUCCAGUGUAUAGGAUGAUCUCUAAGGAGUAUCAAUUUUAUGGGGAUAUUUGCGAGAUGGAGAAGAAGAAUAAGAACUAGGACCUCUUGGGCGUGUGUUGCGGCAUAAAUUGCCCGAAUCCUCUCCAGAUGUGCAGUAUUGCUCUUUAAAGAGUACCCGCAACACGACCUUGAUUUGUAUUGCGAAGUUGCAACAUCUUGCGCUUUGCCGGUGUUCAAAUAUUCAAGCCAAAUCUGUGUUGGUGUACUAGUGGAAGUGUCUCUUGCUAACUGUCCUUCAGACCUGUAUGAUAUUUUUCAAGUUUGACACUUACUACAUUUUCAAUUUCUUAACAUUCGUUACUUCAUUGUGUGUUGGGCACUGUAUAUUCCUUUUUCAUUGUUGAUUGUUCUUCAACUAUUGCUCUUUGCUCCUUUUAUUAUCUAUAUAAGAGUACCUACUGCUAUGAACAUAAUUUGUCUUGGAUGCGUCAAAACAGAACUAAAUAUUUGUAUCAAACGUCCCUUAUGCGGCUAUGCUUAGUGCAAUUCGCAGAAUGCCCGAGUUGAACUGUUAUUCACUUGUAAAUUGGUCAUGCUUUUUAUAUAUAAUUUCUUUUCUGAAGUUUUCAUCUCUUUCGGUAGACAAAGAAAAAAUUGGUAUCCUCCAAUUUCUCAUGGCGAUAAAUCCAUGUAUUCAAGUGGUGAUUUGAACAAUAGGAGUAAGGUAAGCUACAAGGCAACAACUUUUGUGAUAAGAUCAAAACAAUGUUGGAUUUUGUUAUUGAUUAUAAAUGAAUGGAUUGAUACAGAAUGCAAUUGCAGAGAUGGAUCUCCUCUAUUUACUUCAAAUACCACCGACAUACCGGGCUGUACCUACCGGCUACCACUGCCAGCUAAGCUCCAGCUUGCCAAUCACAGGGCUUAAGAGCUUACCUGCCACUGACUAACUGGCUGGUUAACGGGCAGUUUGCCCAGCUGCAUACACUUGACCCCCUCCACGAACUGAUGGUGGAACCUCUGUAAGCAUCAUUUUGGCCUUAAGGUCCGUGAAACUAGCAGUUGUUGAUGGAUUUGUGAACAUGUCAGCUAUCUGAUCCAGGAUGGAAUAUGUUUUGGAACAAUCUGUUUAUGAAGAACCUUUUCUCAGAUAUAAUGAGAGUCAACUUGAACAUCCUUAGUCCUUGCAUGAAAAAUUGUAUUAAACAUUAUAUUAUGGGGUAGGAACCGAAACGAAAAUAAGAAGCAGAAAGGUCCUUGACCAAUUGUUGAAGCCAUACUACCUCAGUUGCAGCAUUACCAAAGAUUUGUAUUCAGCCUCAGAGAAGGAUGUAGCGACAGUUGGUUGCUUUUUGGCUGACCAAGAAAUUACGUAGGCCACAAAACACGCAAUAGCCACUUGUAGAUCGCCUAUCAACUGAUUUGCCUGCCCAAUCAGCAUCAUAAAAUGCCGACACGACUCCACGAGCAGAUUUCAUUCGGCAAACUGAAGGGCUUGGGCUAUGUUACACAGAUCCUCUAUUUUUGGCAAAGCAUCUGUGUCCAUGGGCCACGACACAAGUGGGGGUGUGACUUGUGAGAUCAGAAUUGGACACAACAAGAUUAUAUCAAACUCGGCAAGUCAUGGAUCAAAACAAAAUAAAAGAGAAAGAGGAUUAGAAGGAAGACAUACACAGAUGUUUGUAGUUCUUCAACUUGGUUGAUGACUCGAAGAUUCUUGAAUACUAGACCUGAGUUUGAGAACCUGGCUGUCCAUAUUGUCCCCUAGAAUUGAAAGAAGCCUAUAGUUCAUGUUUCGUUUGUGAUAACAACCAUAGGCCGUUUGAUUUGUUUCUUCACAAAUUUGACACCCCAUGUUAUCUGAGGUGCAAAGCCACCUGAAAUCAUUGAGGGAAAUCAUCCUCUGUUAAUCUGAUUUCCUUUAUAUCUGUUAUUCCCUCUAUUAUUGUGAUUUCCUGAGUUUUUCUAUGCAUCAUUAAAGGUUAGAUAGUUAUGAAGAUUUGGACCAGAACUGGAAAGCUAGGAUAAGAAGUGUGGAGGAGAAUUCUGGACAACUGAAGCUAAGGGGAAACCAGAUGGAGGAGGAGUACAAUAUCUAGAAGUGUGUGCUGCACUUGAAUGUAUUUUUUAUCGGCUUGCUGCACUUGAGUGUUGUGCAAUUAGUACAGCAGAACAGUCAAUAGGAUGAGGUUGAUAAUGUGAAGACCCUCAGCUAUAAGAAUACAGAAAAUUUGCUGAAUGAGAAAGGUUAUGUGCUUGUUCUGAUAGCUCGCAUCAACAUUUUGAACCGUCUAUGCAAUCCAUUGGGUGUAUGAAAUACAAGAUAUAUCUUCAUCAUCAAUUUAUAUACAUAAUGUAGCUAAUUUCUGUAUAAUGCCUUUAAUUGAAUCCAGAUAUGCUUCCAUAGUUGUGGUGUUUUUGAGGUUGAGCAACUUCCGUUUGAGAUCAUGGAUAUGAUUGAGAUGAUGUGCUGAACAUAUUGUCAAGUGUCGGCCAACUUGAUGAGCAUGCUGGGAUCCAACGACAUGUGGAAGGACUGAAGGUGUUAGAGUUGCUAUAAUACUCCACAUGAAAGCAACAUGCGGUCGCUAGAACUCCAAGAGCUACGCUUGCAAUGUUUUAAUGGAUACAAACUCCAUGAAAUGCGAGUUAGUGAACGAACCGACUCUCUCUCUCUCUCUCUCUCUCUCUCUCUCUCUCUCUCUCUCUCUCUCUCUCUCUCAUGCUUUCUUCUUUCUUUUUCCUUAUUUUUGGCUCGACCUCAAAUUUCAUUUACAGAAGUGGUAAAGCGCUGAACCUGGAGACUGGAACUUACUAUGUCAAAUAUAAAGAUAAGGAAUUGAGUUGAUUUUAAUAGCUUGCAAUGAGUACUUACAAGAUUGUAUACAAACUUAUAGAUCUCUGGGCAACACUUUGAUUCUGUUAAUGCUUGAGCCAAAGCAGCCAAUUACCAUUCUUGCCUCUGUUGUUGUAUCCUAUCAAGGGUUAGCUCUCAUUUGGAUGGAAGAAAUCAAGGAAACCACAAAGGCGUUGAAUUAGAAAUCAAGGAAACCACCUAGUCUUUUUUUCUUCA